rnacentral:rRNA from 1 species
GAUGAACGCUGGCGGCGUGCCUAAUACAUGCAAGUCGAGCGAACGGACGAGAAGCUUGCUUCUCUGCUGUUAGCGGCGGACGGGUGAGUAACACGUGGAUAACCUACCUCUAAGACUGGGAUAACUUCGGGAAACCGGAGCUACUACCGGAUCAUAUUUUGAACCGCAUGGUUCAAAAGUGAAAGACGGUCUUGCUGUCACUUAUAGAUGGAUCCGCGCUGCAUUAGCUAGUUGGUAAGGUAACGGCUUACCAAGGCAACGAUGCAUAGCCGACCUGAGAGGGUGAUCGGCCACACUGGAACUGAGACACGGUCCAGACUCCUACGGGAGGCAGCAGUAGGGAAUCUUCCGCAAUGGGCGAAAGCCUGGCGGAGCAACGCCGCGUGAGUGAUGAAGGUCUUCGGAUCGUAAAACUCUGUUAUUAGGGAAGAACAUAUGUGUAAGUAACUGUGCACAUCUUGACGGUACCUAAUCAGAAAGCCACGGCUAACUACGUG